rnacentral:rRNA from 1 species
UACGAAGGGUGCAAGCGUUAAUCGGAAUUACUGGGCGUAAAGGGUGCGUAGGCGGUUCGUUAAGUCUGUCGUGAAAUCCCCGGGCUCAACCUGGGAAUGGCGAUGGAUACUGGCGAGCUAGAGUGUGUCAGAGGAUGGUGGAAUUCCCGGUGUAGCGGUGAAAUGCGUAGAGAUCCGGAAGAACACCGGUGGCGAAGGCGGCCUGCUGGGCUAUGGCUGACACUGAGGCGCGACAGCGUGGGGAGCAAACAGG